UAUUGAAAUUGAUCCGUGUGACAGAGAUUGUUUGAGGUUUCUUUGGGUGGGCAACAUACAUGAAGAUGAGGUGAAGCCAGUAGAGUAUAGAUUUUGUAGAGUUGUUUUUGGUGAACUGUUCACCUUUUUUGCUGAAUUGGCGCCACACUUCAACACCAUCUUGACCGCUUUUCCAAGGGUAAUCCUGAAUUGACUCGAAAGUUGAAGGACAGCUUUUAUGUUGAUGACCUAGUAACUAGAGAACAAACCCCUGAGCAUGCAUUAUCAUUAUAUGAGCCUUCUAGUAACAGUUUAGCUUCUGGGUGGUUCAAGCUUAGGAAAUGGCUCAGUAAUAGUAAACUUGUAUUAGAGAAAAUCCAAUCAAAGGAAGAAAUCAAGCCUGAAAGAGGAAACUUGGCAUGUGAAGAAACAUUUGCUAAGUCAUCCCUUUGCAUGACAGGCAAGAAUGACACAUCAGAGAAAGUACUUGGGCUGGCUUGGAAUUGUACAACUGAUGAGUUUCAGUUUUUGUUUCAGGGUUUAGUUGAGAAAGCAAAAUCGCAACCUGUUACCAAACGCAAUAUUCUUAGAAUAUUAGCUGGGUUGUUUGAGCCAUUGGGAAUUCUUAGCCCAAUGGUAGUAAGUAUUAAGAUGUUGUUUCAAGCACUGCAUGUGUUUGGACAAGACAAAGUAGAUUGGGAUUCUGAACUAAAAGGAAAAUAUUUGAA